AUAUUUAUGUGCACUGUCGACUAUUGAAAACAUGAGCGAAAUGUCCGCAUUCAAAUUGAGAAUUCGAGUCAGGGUAAAUUCAACGGUCAAUAAUUUCACUUGAGGGAGCUAUGUAAACCGGCCCCUUCAUUCUUACUUAGUGAGAAUAUUCUUCUGUGUUCUUGGUAAAAUUUUCAUAAUUGAAUCUCGGAACUGGUCGAUAUGUAUUUAUGUAUAUUUUUUCCUACAAUCACCGAUUUUCCUGGUUUCAGCAACUUCAUACUGUUAUGAGAAAACGAGACCAACGGAACAUUUUCUAUGUGAGUGGCCCACCUAUAGACACAUCAAACAUAACAUCACAUUCACUAAUGGAAAUCCUGUGAUAUAUGAACAAAUCCGGGAUAUUUAGUUAGACUGGAGAAUCUAAUGCCAUAAACUACUAGGGUCUGAGUGCCCGGAGGUUUUCCCUCUCCUGCGUAAUUAAAAUUCAAAAAUUCAAUGCUUACUUAACCGCUGAAACCUUGGUCAGCCAACUGGCAAAAGAUACUUUGUGUGAAGGUUGACACGGACAUUCAGAAUGAUCUGGUAUCAGAUGUGUUACAGCUUAUCGAUCUUCUAGUUAUCUAAGCUAUCAGAAGGAAUUAUGUUUAUCCAAGAUGCACAUUUAUACUGCACUAUUUUACAUUUAUAAUGCACUAUUUUACGUUCAAGGUCAGAAAGAAUUGAAUGUUGGCAAAGCAGUUCCAAUCCAAGAAAAGAAAAUAUUCAAAAAAAUGUUCGCUGAAUUUGUAAUAUCUGUGUAUUUUUCACAUGCAGAUGAUAUAGUUUCAUUUCACACUGUGCUGACGAGAAAUUCAUUUGCCUGUAAGCACAAAAUAAAUAAAUUAUAGAAUCUAGACCUAAAAACACAUCCUGCGAUAUCUGCUCAAAUAAAGUUAAAUUUUAAUUUAUAAAUUUACCCUAGGUAAACGAGGUUCGACGUGAGUGUAAAUGAUAUAAUAGGGCAC